rnacentral:misc_RNA from 1 species
GAUGAAGAACGUAGCGAAAUGCGAUAAGUAAUGUGAAUUGCAGAAUUCAGUGAAUCAUCGAAUCUUUGAACGCACAUUGCGCCCGCCAGUAUUCUGGCGGGCAUGCCUGUCCGAGCGUCAUUUCAACCCUCGAACCCCUCCGGGGGGUCGGCGUUGGGGAUCGGCCCUUUCACCGGGUGCCGGCCCCUAAAUACAGUGGCGGUCUCGCCGCAGCCUCUCAUGCGCAGUAGUUUGCACACUCGCACCGGGAGCGCGGCGCGUCCACGUCCGUAAAACACCCCAACUUCUGAAAUGUUGACCUCGGAUCAGGUAGGAAUACCCGCUGAACUUAAGCAUAUCAAUAAGCGAGG